rnacentral:rRNA from 2 species
ACGGGUGAGUAACACGUGAGUAACCUGCCCUUGACUCUGGGAUAAGCCUGGGAAACUGGGUCUAAUACCGGAUAUGACUCCUCAUCGCAUGGUGGGGGGUGGAAAGCUUUUGUGGUUUUGGAUGGACUCGCGGCCUAUCAGCUUGUUGGUGGGGUAAUGGCCUACCAAGGCGACGACGGGUAGCCGGCCUGAGAGGGUGACCGGCCACACUGGGACUGAGACACGGCCCAGACUCCUACGGGAGGCAGCAGUGGGGAAUAUUGCACAAUGGGCGCAAGCCUGAUGCAGCGACGCCGCGUGAGGGAUGACGGCCUUCGGGUUGUAAACCUCUUUCAGUAGGGAAGAAGCGUAAGUGACGGUACCUGCUAAAGAAGCGCCGGCUAACUACGUGCCAGCAGCCGCGGUAAUACGUAGGGCGCAAGCGUUAUCCGGAAUUAUUGGGCGUAAAGAGCUCGUAGGCGGUUUGUCGCGUCUGCUGUGAAAGACCGGGGCUCAACUCCGGUUCUGCAGUGGGUACGGGCAGACUAGAGUGCAGUAGGGGAGACUGGAAUUCCUGGUGUAGCGGUGAAAUGCGCAGA